AAUCAGCUCCUGUGAAAGACAGUUUGUCUGCAUUUGGAAUUGUAAAAUAUCAAGCCUCUCUCUUGUCUGGAUUAUCUGCUGCUUAUAUUUGGCUAAGUAUUCAUUUAACCCCUUUAGUUGCUGCUUAACAGCCUUCAAUUUGCUCCAAAUUUGCUGCAUAUGAGUGCCAUAAUAGACCUUCUCCCGGACUUUUUUCACAAUUUCAUGAAACUGCUCAUGUUCCAU
rnacentral:lncRNA from 1 species